AGGAUCCUUUCGGAAUACUAAAGCCGGCCCACAUUUGACUGUUUUUUUUAAUAAUAACUGCUGCUGCUGCUGAGUGUUGGUACAAUUUUCUCAAAGACAUUUUCCAUCUCUGAAAGGAUCCUUUCAGAAUUCUAAAUCCGGCCCUUAUUUGACUGUGUAUUUAAUAAUUGCUGCUUUUGCUGCUGCUGAGAGUUGGUACAAUUUUAUAAAAGGCAUUUUCCAUCACUGAAAGGUUCCUUUCUGAUUUAUAAGUCUGUGCUUUGUUUGUCUGUGUAUUUAAAAAAUUGAGGAGCACUGACUACAAGUGCUUCGUUUCUGUACUGCUGGAGUUUUCGUUUCUGUACUGCUGGAGUUGUGCUGAGAACAGGAUCCUUUCUGAUUUCUAAGUCUGGCCUUUGUUUGUCUGUGUAUUUACAAAAUUAAGGAGCACCAACUAGUCUACAAAUGCUUCAUUUCUGUACUGCUGGAGUUGUGCUAGAAACGGGAAGAUACUUUCAGAUUUGCUAAAUCUGGCCUUUGUUUGACUGUUUAUUUACAAAUUUAAGAGCAACAAUUACAAAUGCUUUGUUUAUGGACUACAAAUUAAUCUACAGACUGCUGAUGGAACUGAGCUGAAAACAAAUCAGUUUCUGUAUUUUUCGAAAAAUGCUGCUUACUGCUGCUGCUGACAAUAUUCUUCCAUCUCUAUAUAAAAAUAAUUAUUCAUGCCAAUUAUUGGUGUUGUGGGGAGGAUUGUGGAGAAUUUUUUCAAGUGUUUAUUGAUUAUUAAAAAUAAAAUAAUAUAUAAA